GAGGUAGAGGUCGCGAUGUUGAUCAGUACGUCCGGGAAGGCUGGGAAGCCGCCGAUGAACCGGACGGAAAGGCAGCAUCGCCGAAGUGUGGACGUCCUGCUUCCAGAAGACGGACAUGCUGGGGCUGUUGCCGAAAGGGACAGAACUGUCACGGCUGACUCCUGCGGGAGCCUGCAAG
rnacentral:ncRNA from 1 species